UUGUCCCCACGCUUUCGCACCUCAGCGUCAAUACCAGUCCAGUGAGCCGCCUUCGCCACUGGUGUUCUUCCGAAUAUCUACGAAUUUCACCUCUACACUCGGAAUUCCACUCACCUCUCCUGGAUUCAAGCGAUGCAGUCUUAAAGGCAGUUCCGGAGUUGAGCCCCGGGCUUUCACCUCUAACUUACAAAGCCGCCUACGUGCGCUUUACGCCCAGU
rnacentral:rRNA from 1 species